GAUGAACGCUGGCGGCGUGCCUAAUACAUGCAAGUCGAGCGCACGGACGAUAAGCUUGCUUCUCUGAUGUUAGCGGCGGACGGGGGAGUAACACGUGGAUAACCUACCUAAAAGACUGGAAUAACGUCGGGAAACCGGAGCUAAUACCGGAUAAUAUUUUGAACCUCAUGGUUCAAAAGUGAAAGACGGUCUUGCUGUCACUUAUAGAUGGAUCCGCGUUGCAUUAGUUAGAUGGUAAGGUAACGGCUUACCAAGGCAACGAGGCAUAGCCGACCUGAGAGGGUGAUCGGCCACCCUGGAACGGAGACACGGUCCAGACUCCUACGGGAGGCAGCAGUAGGGAAUCUUCCGCAAAGGGCGAAAGCCUGACGGAGCAACGCGGCGUGAGUGAUGAAGGUCUUCGGAUCGUAAAACUCUGUUAUUAGGGAAGAACAUAUGUGUAAGUAACUGUGCACAUCUUGACGGUACCUAAUCAGAAAGCCACGGCUAACUACGUG
rnacentral:rRNA from 1 species